GCAGCAAGAAGUAAAAGUUAUAAACACAAAACAGGAAAAUCAAGAUCAUUCAAUUAGAUAAAGAACAGAUGACCGAAACUUUAAUGAGGUUGUGCAAGAAAGGUGGGGUUCUCCGAGUGGGUUGACUGCAUCUAAUGCAGCUGUUCCUGCUCGAGCACAUCUACGUGCAAUAAAAAUAGACAAAAAGGUAUAACUGAAGUAAAUUUGCCAGAUUCUGAUAGGCACGGUCGAAGGGCUCCUACAAGGGACUACUUAAAGGAUGUUUCUGUUUGCCACCAUGAAAUGAGAAAACCUAAAGUUCAAGAUUCUGUCUUGGGAAAGCGAAAGAGCCACCAACACAUG
rnacentral:sRNA from 1 species